rnacentral:tRNA from 1 species
AAUGCUGUAGCUCAGUUGGCAGAGCGCCGAGUUUCUCGGAGGUCGCGGGUUUGAUUCCCGUCAGCAGUUUCA